rnacentral:rRNA from 1 species
UACGGAGGGUGCGAGCGUUGUCCGGAAUCAUUGGGCGUAAAGGGCGCGUAGGUGGCCUGCUAAGCGUGCGGUGAAAGUCGGGGGCUCAACCCCCGAUCGGCCGUGCGAACUGGGAGGCUUGAGCACUGUAGAGGCAGGCGGAAUUCCGGGUGUAGCGGUGGAAUGCGUAGAGAUCCGGAGGAAGACCGGUGGCGAAGGCGGUCUGCUGGGCAGUUUCUGACACUGAUGCGCGACAGCGUGGGGAGCAAACAGG